UACAGAGGUCCCAAGCGUUGUUCGGAUUCAUUGGGCGUAAAGGGUGCGUAGGCGGCGCGGGAAGUCGGGUGUGAAAUCUCGGAGCUUAACUCCGAAACUGCAUUCGAUACUGCCGUGCUUGAGGACUGGAGAGGAGACUGGAAUUUACGGUGUAGCGGUGAAAUGCGUAGAUAUCGUAAGGAAGACCAGUGGCGAAGGCGGCUCGCUGGGCCACACCUGACGCUGAGACGCGAAAGCUAGGGGAGCGAACAGG
rnacentral:rRNA from 1 species